GAGAGGAAAAGAUAAUUACGUGGUAAGCAAAAAGAAAUUUUACGAAGGAAUGCCACAAGGAGUAUAUUUCAAGAUGAUGAUUCAUCUCAAGACUAUCACCCAAGUCCACCACCAAGUCAAGAUGAUGGAUAUCAUUAUUAGGUUUAUGUAGUCUAUGAGUUUUCGAUUUUAUUAAGUUUAUGUGGUUUAUUAAUUACCUUUUUUUUAAGUUUAUGUGGUAAUUCAUGAUUUUCAUGUAUUCAUUUAGUGGUUUUUCAAAAUUUAUCGGAAUUUAAAUAUUUUUAGGUUAAAAUGUUCAUAAAAUUAAUUUAGGAUAGUCUACAUAAUUUUUUUUAAAAAAGUUAAUUUAAAAAAAAUUAACCUUAAUUCAUUUUUUGAUAAUCUUGGGCUAAAAUUUUAGGCCAAAAGGGUUGGAGUAGAAAAACUGUUUCUGAGCUAAAACCUAAAUUUUCUGGGCUAAAUAUUUUUAAGUUUUAGGUCAGGAUUGGAGAUGGUCUAAGCAUCGGUCAACAUUAUACCGCCAAUGACCCAUAAGAGUCUCCCUCCAACCAGGAGGCUAAUCACAACGCGACACAUGUCAACGUCAGAGGCCAAUCAUAACGCG
rnacentral:lncRNA from 1 species